AAUGAACGUUGGCGGCAGGCUUAACACAUGCAAGUCGAACGAAAAGGUAACUUCGGUUACUGGAUUCGUGGCGGACGGGUGAGUAUAACAUAGAAAUCUACCGAGCAGUGGGGGAUAACAGUUGGAAACGACUGAUAAUACCGCAUACGCCAUAUUGGGAAAACUAAGGUGCUGUUCGAUGAGUCUAUGCCGGAUUAGCUAGUUGGUAGGGUAAAGGCCUACCAAGGCAAUGAUCUGUAGCUGGUUUGAGAGGAUGAUCAGCCACACUGGGACUGAGACACGGCCCAGACUCCUACGGGGAGGCAGCAGUGAGGAAUAUUGCACAAUGGGCGAAAGCCUGAUGCAGCCAUGCCGCGUGAAUGAAGAAGGUUUUCGGACUGUAAAGUUCUUUCAGUGGUGAGGAAGGUGUGUUAAUAGCAUAUUUGACGUUAGCGACAGAAGAAGCACCGGCUAACUCCGUGCCAGCGCC
rnacentral:rRNA from 1 species